UUGACCUCGGAUCAGGCAGGGAUACCCGCUGAACUUAAGCAUAUCAAUAAGCGGAGGAAAAGAAACCAACAGGGAUUGCCUCAGUAACGGCGAGUGAAGCGGCAACAGCUCAAAUUUGAAAUCUGGCUCUUUUAGGGUCCGAGUUGUAAUUUGUAGAGGAUGCUUCGGCGUCGGCUCCGGUCUAAGUUCCUUGGAACAGGACGUCAUAGAGGGUGAGAAUCCCGUAUGUGAUCGGUUGCCCUUGCCAUGUGAAGCUCCUUCGACGAGUCGAGUUGUUUGGGAAUGCAGCUCUAAAUGGGAGGUAAAUUUCUUCUAAAGCUAAAUAC
rnacentral:rRNA from 1 species